rnacentral:lncRNA from 1 species
CCCCGCAUCUUCAACCUCACCCCACCCCAGUUCGUCCUCUUUACAGCACCCCACCUCCACCCGUCAUUGUCAUCUUCAAUUCAUUAAUUAAAGCUUUUCAUUAAUGGAAAUAGCGAAUUUGAACUCGUUCGUAAUGGAUUUGAUCAAUUUGUUUUCGAAAAAUCAUUUAUGGGUUCAUGUAAUAGAACAAUUUUAUAAUUUUUCUUUAGACUUGGAAGGUUUUAAAUUUAGCAUUACAGCAAUGGAUCUUUAAGGGAUCUGCAGUAUCGCAAAACACCCAAUUUGUAUGGCAAGUCCUGUACCAUUUAGCAGCCCAGCAAUACUCGAAUCAUCCACUGAUAUUGGAAGUCUCUAUUUUCGAACUAUUCAAAUCUUGUUCGUCCAAAUUUAGCAGCAACGGCAGG